CUCUCUCUCCCUCUGUGUGAUUCAGGGCCUGAAGUCCAUAUCCUGCCCCCAGGAUGGAGCUUGUGCUGCUUUGUCCUUCACUACUUCCUAUUCUUCCUCAAGGGGUGGCACCGUGUGUGUUACCAACCCUCCAGGUGAUUCUAAUGCAAUGCUACACUUGGAGAACCAGGACAGGGACCAGAGGCGCCUGCUGGAGUGGCAAUCCGGUCACAUCUCUUUCCAGGAGCCAGAUGGGCAGCCAAAGAGAGAAGCCUCCAGCUAUGUAGCAGACAAGUAGAGAAGGAAAGGUCCAUGAGCCUCCUUAUCACCCUGCAGCUGGCACAACAUCUGGACAACAGAACAAGGCAACAGCACAGAUACCUGCACCUCCCCAACCCCAACAUGCAUGUUUGUCCAUUUAGUGCUAAUUACAGUAUUGGUUUGUAAUCCCUGCUAUAAAAAAAACUAUAGUCCCUCCCUCUACUUACUUGUUCUAAAUGACCUCUUUCAAAAGAUCCACUGCUUGAUAAGUAAUGUCAAACUGGGAAAUUAUUUUGAAAUAUCAUAACCAGGAAUUUGUUACUUGGUUCAAAGACAUUGCACUGGCCCUCAGGCUUUCCUGAAGCUUGCUACCACCAUGUCAACCAUCUCCCCUUCCCCUGCUGAUCCUGUAACUUCAGUGUCAGUCAGGAGCAAACCACCUUCCCAACAUCAUGUAUUAGUAACAGAUCUUCACAGUAUCUUCACAAAUAUCUCUCUCUAGUACACACAUGCACACACACACACACACACACAUUUCUUUGCUGAAGAUAUCAGGGGAAAAGAGUUAAGACAAAGGAGAAGGAUAGCAAAAAGCAAACAAUCUGUAUAUAUUUUUAUUAUAUUUCUCAUUAAGCUCGGUUUCAGGUCUCCCAGAGGCAUGGGGUAUGAGGGCUGGAGUUGAUCUGCUCGGCUGAAAUCAUUUGAAACUUGACAUGGAUUUGAGG